rnacentral:rRNA from 1 species
AACGAACGCUGGCGGCAGGCUUAACACAUGCAAGUCGAGCGCGCCCUUCGGGGUUAGCGGCGGUCGGGUGAGUAACGCGUGGGAACGUGCCCUUUUCUACGGAAUCGUCUCGGUUAACUGAGCGUAAUACAGUAUAGGCUAAUAGGGGGUAAGAUGUCUCGGAAAAGGAUCGGCGCGCGUUGGUUUAGGUAGUUGGUGGGGUAUUGGCCUACCAAGACGACGAUGCAUGGCUGGUUUGUGAGGAUGAUCAAGCGGGCUGGGACUGAGACACGGCCCAGACUGCGAGGCAACGCAGCAGUAGGGAGUCUUAUACGAUGAAGGCAACCGUAGUCAAGCCAUGCCGCGUAAGACAGGAAGGCCGUAGUGUUGUAAAUCUCUUUCUGCUGAAAAGAGAAUGACGGUACCAGGUAAAGAAGCCCCGGCUAACUCCGUG